CUGUUCAGCUGCUGCCCACAGAAGACGACCAAGACCCUUCACCUGUUUUUCUGCCGCUCGAUGCUGGUGAGCUGAUCGGCGCCUGCCGAAAUGUACAGUUCCUCUCUUCAGACCCCUCCAUCUCCCAGUUUAAGUCAGUGGACGUAAAGACCUACUUCUUGGGGAUGAUAAGGGGCCCACAGAGUCGUCUUUGCUGGUUUAUAACCACCACCACACACUGCUUGACUCACAUGG